CUUGUCGGGUAAGUUCCGACCCGCACGAAAGGCGUAACGAUCUGGGCACUGUCUCAACGAGAGACUCGGUGAAAUUAUAGUACCUGUGAAGAUGCAGGUUACCCGCGACAGGACGGAAAGACCCCGUGGAGCUUUACUGUAGCUUGAUAUUGAAUUUUGGUACAACUUGUACAGGAUAGGUAGGAGCCAGAGAUCUCGGAGCGCCAGCUUCGAAGGAGGCGUCGGUGGGAUACUACCCUGGUUGUAUUGAAAUUCUAACCCAUGCCCCUUAGCGGGGUAGGAGACAGUGUCAGGCGGACAGUUUGACUGGGGCGGUCGCCUCCUAAAGAGUCACGGAGGCGCCCAAAGGUUCCCUCAGAAUGGUUGGAAAUCAUUCGUAGAGUGUAAAGGCAUAAGGGAGCUUGACUGCGAGACCUACAAGUCGAGCAGGGUCGAAAGACGGGCUUAGUGAUCCGGUGGUUCCGCAUGGAAGGGCCAUCGCUCAACGGAUAAAAGCUACCCCGGGGAUAACAGGCUUA
rnacentral:rRNA from 1 species